AGUGAACGCUGGCGGUAGGCCUAACACAUGCAAGUCGAACGGCAGCACAGUAAGAGCUUGCUCUUACGGGUGGCGAGUGGCGGACGGGUGAGGAAUACAUCGGAAUCUACUUUUUCGUGGGGGAUAACGUAGGGAAACUUACGCUAAUACCGCAUACGACCUACGGGUGAAAGUAGGGGAUCUUCGGACCUUGCGCGAUUGAAUGAGCCGAUGUCGGAUUAGCUAGUUGGCGGGGUAAAGGCCCACCAAGGCGACGAUCCGUAGCUGGUCUGAGAGGAUGAUCAGCCACACUGGAACUGAGACACGGUCCAGACUCCUACGGGAGGCGGCAGUGGGGAAUAUUGGACAAUGGGCGCAAGCCUGAUCCAGCCAUACCGCGUGGGUGAAGAAGGCCUUCGGGUUGUAAAGCCCUUUUGUUGGGAAAGAAAAGCAGCAGGUUAAUACCCCGCUGUUCUGACGGUACCCAAAGAAUAAGCACCGGCUAACUUCGUG
rnacentral:rRNA from 1 species